UACGUAGGGUGCAAGCGUUAAUCGGAAUUACUGGGCGUAAAGCGUGCGCAGGCGGCUUUGCAAGACAGAUGUGAAAUCCCCGGGCUUAACCUGGGAACUGCAUUUGUGACUGCAUGGCUGGAGUGCGGCAGAGGGGGAUGGAAUUCCGCGUGUAGCAGUGAAAUGCGUAGAUAUGCGGAGGAACACCGAUGGCGAAGGCAAUCCCCUGGGCCUGCACUGACGCUGAGGCACGAAAGCGUGGGGAGCAAACAGG
rnacentral:rRNA from 1 species